rnacentral:rRNA from 1 species
UAGGGAAUCUUCCGCAAUGGGCGAAAGCUUGACGGAGCAACGCCGCGUGAGUGAUGAAGGUCUUCGGAUCGUAAAACUCUGUUAUUAGGGAAGAACAAAUGUGUAAGUAACUAUGCACGUCUUGACGGUACCUAAUCAGAAAGCCACGGCUAACUACGUGCCAGCAGCCGCGGUAAUACGUAGGUGGCAAGCGUUAUCCGGAAUUAUUGGGCGUAAAGCGAGCGCAGGCGGUCAAUUAAGUCUGAUGUGAAAGCCCCCGGCUCAACCGGGGAGGGUCAUUGGAAACUGGUUGACUUGAGUGCAGAAGAGGAGAGUGGAAUUCCAUGUGUAGCGGUGAAAUGCGUAGAUAUAUGGAGAAACACCAGUGGCGAAGGCGACUCUCUGGUCUGUAACUGACGCGGAGGCUCGAAAGCGUGGGUAGCAAACAGG